rnacentral:misc_RNA from 1 species
AAGUCGUAACAAGGUUUCCGUAGGUGAACCUGCGGAAGGAUCAUUAACACGUAUCCAACGUUAAACCCCCCGUGAUUAGAAAAGGUAGCAAUCCCUGGUAAAUCAUUGCCGAACAGUUUUGAUUCAGGGACUUCUGCGUAGACUGUGCUUGAGCGUGAGGCAAGUGGCCUGGCAUUCCUCUGCUUGUUGGUGUCUGAAAGUGUCACCAGCUCUGUACGAAUGGCGCAGUCACGAUCGCUAGAGGCCGACACGGCCGGCGACCGGGUCACUGGGCGCGAGCCCCACCUUUGCAUGAAAACGGGCCUGCGCUCCACCAAACUCGAACAACUGUUAACAAUGGAUAUCUUGGUUCUC